CCUUGGUCAGGUUGAAGUUCAGGUAACACUGAAUGGAGGACCGAACCGACUUACGUUGAAAAGUGAGCGGAUGAACUGAGGGUAGCGGAGAAAUUCCAAUCGAACCUGGAGAUAGCUGGUUCUCUCCGAAAUAGCUUUAGGGCUAGCCUCAAGUGAUGAUUAUUGGAGGUAGAGCACUGUUUGGACGAGGGGCCCCUCUCGGGUUACCGAAUUCAGACAAACUCCGAAUGCCAAUUAAUUUAACUUGGGAGUCAGAACAUGGGUGAUAAGGUCCGUGUUCGAAAGGGAAACAGCCCAGACCACCAGCUAAGGUCCCAAAAUAUAUGUUAAGUGGAAAAGGAUGUGGCGUUGCCCAGACAACUAGGAUGUUGGCUUAGAAGCAGCCAUCAUUUAAAGAGUGCGUAAUAGCUCACUAGUCGAGUGACACUGCGCCGAAAAUGUACCGGGGCUAAACAUAUUACCGAAGCUGUGGAUUGUCCUUUGGACAAUGGUAGGAGAGCGUUCUAAGGGCGUUGAAGCAUGAUCGUAAGGACAUGUGGAGCGCUUAGAAGUGAGAAUGCCGGUGUGAGUAGCGAAAGACGGGUGA
rnacentral:rRNA from 1 species